GCCCGGGUGGCCCAACGGUAGAGGCGGCCGGCUUAAACCCGGCUCAAGUGUGGGUUCGACUCCCACCCCGGGCA
rnacentral:tRNA from 1 species